rnacentral:lncRNA from 1 species
AUGAAUACCCAGAACGCAGAGAUGGACGUGGAGUCGCUCCAGAAGCGCCGACGCGGAUGCUUUCUGGACGCUUUUCUCGUCGGCUCCGUCAUGUUCCUGUUUGCAGCAGUGACAACGCUGGCUGUUGUCGGAGUCAUGACCGUGAAGGACGUAGAGUCCAGACUGAAGCCCCCUUCGUGGACCAGCGAGUCCGGGCCGUUGAAGUUGACGGACGUCUCCUCAAGCGCGGUCUUCACGAAUUUUGCCUAUCUGGAAGCCACCACAAGUGGGUUGAAGAACGCUACCAUGCAGUGGGCUGUGCAGCAAACCUCUGUGACUUCACCAUACACGUUGGUGAAGGUGUUGUUGAUAAGUUGAGCUGCAAGGUGCACCUACCGAAGCUGCAAGACUCCACGGCAGUGAUCAAGAAAUGCUGGACAGUGAGCAGUGUCGCGUCUAAGCAGAAACUCAUAUCUCACAUGACUGUGCCUAAGGAGGGACUGGACAACUGGAGCCUGGAUAUGGGAUUGGGGAUGUUCCUCGUGGACUAAGCUGACGGCUGCUGUGCCGCUGCCGACAUCAGGAUGCACAUGUACCUGUGACCUGUAAGUCACGACGGAGGAACAACACAAGCUUGCGUCGCAGGUGCUGUCUUCAAAGCUUCAAAACUGCAGCCCAAGACAAGGAAGCACAGUAGGAUCCUACUAAGCUGCAGUAGUGACAAUGCGCUGAUCAUGUGUUAAGGAGCAGACACUCACCCCAUUUUGUGUAAAUAUGUAUGAAUAUAUGUAUAGUAAUGUAAUAAGUGAUAUAUUUAUUUUGUGAUGUUAAACUAUUUAUACUGCUAUUUAUAAAUGUUGUUGCUAUUUUUAUAGAAAUGUAUUUGGUGUAGGUAUCACUACCAGUUGCUGUGCAAUACCCUGCAAUUUUAAUCAGUCUCUGCUGGUUUCAUUGUACAAAUGUCUGGGAACAUAAAGUUGAUUGUACAAAAAAAAAGAUACGUUUGCUCCAAGACGACAACAAGCACCACAGGAACCCUAAUGUUAGCAACAUACUGUAGGUAGGAUAAGACUAUACACUUGAAAUAACCUUUGCAUGAAUAAGGUCCAAUAGAAACGCUCCAUGUGUCAUCGCAUUCUGAGCAGAAAGACUAAAUAUCUGUUUUCUAUGCUUUGAACUGAAACUUGGUUUUAAAAUACAUGUGUCCUGUUGAAAAACUACUCACUGUUAACAACAUUGUAUUCCAGAUUAAACACAAAAUGAAAGAGGAGUAUGGUUAAAAAUGAGUUUGCUGUGGUGUAAAAGGCAGAAAAUGACGAGUGCGAAAGUAAUAAGUAGAUUAUAUAAGUGUAAAGGUAAAGGAAAGUUCCUUGCCAUUACGCAGACUGUACCGGGAACUGGAUGUACAUCAUUUCCUGUUUAUUUACCAUACAGGGUGGUUUAAGAAAAAAACUGCGUGUGAGAAAAUACAUAUAUAUAUAUAUAUAUAUAUAGUUAUACCUCCAGUAUGAAAUAAAACCAAGAUGCACUUACA